rnacentral:rRNA from 1 species
CCUACGGGCGGCUGCAGUGGGGAAUAUUGCACAAUGGGCGCAAGCCUGAUGCAGCCAUGCCGCGUGUGUGAAGAAGGCCUUCGGGUUGUAAAGCACUUUCAGCGGGGAGGAAGGCGGCGAGGUUAAUAACCUCAUCGAUUGACGUUACCCGCAGAAGAAGCACCGGCUAACUCCGUGCCAGCAGCCGCGGUAAUACGGAGGGUGCAAGCGUUAAUCGGAAUUACUGGGCGUAAAGCGCACGCAGGCGGUCUGUCAAGUCGGAUGUGAAAUCCCCGGGCUCAACCUGGGAACUGCAUUCGAAACUGGCAGGCUAGAGUCUUGUAGAGGGGGGUAGAAUUCCAGGUGUAGCGGUGAAAUGCGUAGAGAUCUGGAGGAAUACCGGUGGCGAAGGCGGCCCCCUGGACAAAGACUGACGCUCAGGUGCGAAAGCGUGGGGAGCAAACAGGAUUAGAUACCCGUGUAGUC